rnacentral:lncRNA from 1 species
CCAGAACUUGUAAUUUUCAGCAUUUUCUUCUUUUCUUCCCUUUUUCUUUGUUUCUUCUCUUUUCUUUACUUCUUUCUCACACACGAGUUUUGCAUCAACAAAUACCUGAAACAUGGCACCAACACCAGCAUAAUACAAUAAAACAUACAUAAAAUUAUACUAAAAUGCAUGUGAAUCGAGUAAAAUAAAUGGUAUGGUUUCACGUUAUAAAAUAAAUGGUAGAUUACAUCAUUCCUUGAGGAUUCGGUAUAUAAUUAACAUUAAAAUAAAGUAAAUCACUUUUUAGUAUAAAAUAUCAAAUUAAAAGACUUUGCCUCACACUCUCGUGUUAUUGACUCGGGCUAUACUCUUAAGCCAAAA